rnacentral:ncRNA from 4 species
UUCGCUUGCAGAGAGAAAUCAC